CCUACGGGAGGCUGCAGUGGGGGAUAUUGCACAAUGGGGGAAACCCUGAUGCAGCGACGCCGCGUGGGCGAAGAAGUAUUUCGGUAUGUAAAGCCCUAUCAGCAGGGAAGAAGAAAUGACGGUACCUGAGUAAGAAGCACCGGCUAAACACGUGCCAGCAGCCGCGGUAAUACUUAUGGUGCAAGCGUUAUCCGGAUUUACUGGGUGUUAAGGGAGGGCAGGGGGGACGGAAAGCCUGGUGUGAAAGCCCGGGGCCCAACCGCGGGACGGCAUGGGGAAAUACCGGGCUGGAGUGGCGGGGAGGGAGGCGGAAUUCCUAGUGUAGGGGUGAAAUGCGGAGAUAGUAGGAAGAACACCAGGGGCGAAGGCGGCCUACUGGACGGUGACUGACGCUGAGGCUAGAAAGCGGGGGGAGCAAACAGGAUUAGAUACCCGAGUAGUC
rnacentral:rRNA from 1 species